GACGAACCAUGCAAACGUUAUUCGGAUUUACUGGGCGUAAAGCGCACGUAGGCGGAUUGUCAAGUCAGGGGUGAAAUCCUGGAGCUCAACUCCAGAACUGCCUUUGAUACUGGCAAUCUCGAGUCCGGAAGAGGUAAGUGGAACUCCUAGUGUAGAGGUGGAAUUCGUAGAUAUUAGGAAGAACACCAGUGGCGAAGGCGGCUUACUGGUCCGGUACUGACGCUGAGGUGCGAAAGCGUGGGGAGCAAACAGG
rnacentral:rRNA from 1 species